GAUGAAGAACGUAGCGAAAUGCGAUAAGUAAUGUGAAUUGCAGAAUUCAGUGAAUCAUCGAAUCUUUGAACGCACCUUGCGCUCCUUGGUAUUCCGAGGAGCAUGCCUGUUUGAGUGUCAUGAAAUUCUCAACCUUUUCAGCUUUCUUUGUUGAUCAGGCUUGGAUGUGGGAGUAUGUGGGCUUCUCAGAAGUCGGCUCUCCUGAAAUGCAUUAGCGGGACCUUUGUUGCCUGGCUUUGGUGUGAUAAUUAUCUACGCCAUUGUAGUCAAGCAGCUUAAAAUGAGGUUUCAGCUUCUAACCGUCUCCCCUGAGACAACUUUUUGACAAUUUGACCUCAAAUCAGGUAGGACUACCCGCUGAACUUAAGCAUAUCAAUAAGCGGAGGA
rnacentral:misc_RNA from 1 species